AGAGUUUGAUCCUGGCUCAGGAUGAACGCUGGCGGCGUGCUUAACACAUGCAAGUCGAGCGAAGCACUUCGAUUUUUCGGAAUGAAGAGUGACUGAGCGGCGGACGGGUGAGUAACGCGUGGGUAACCUGCCCCAUACCGGGGGAUAACAGUUGGAAACGGCUGCUAAUACCGCAUAAGCGCACAAGGAGGCAUCUCCUGGUGUGAAAAAACUCCGGUGGUAUGGGAUGGACCCGCGUUGGAUUAGCCAGUUGGUGGGGUAACGGCCUACCAAAGCGACGAUCCAUAGCCGGCCUGAGAGGGCGACCGGCCACAUUGGGACUGAGACACGGCCCAAACUCCUACGGGAGGCAGCAGUGGGGAAUAUUGCACAAUGGGGGAAACCCUGAUGCAGCGACGCCGCGUGAGUGAUGAAGUAUUUCGGUAUGUAAAGCUCUAUCAGCAGGGAAGAAGACGACGGUACCUGACUAAGAAGCCCCGGCUAACUACGUGCCAGCCGCCGC
rnacentral:rRNA from 1 species